UUUGUUACUUAAGCUUUGCCUUUUCACUGAGUUUGAAUAGGACUUCAAAACCUCGUUAUUUGUUCUGAAAGGAAACCAAUCUGAGGGUUUAUGGAUACGGGCUUGUUGCCACCUUUAAUUCAGUUCCUGGUGGGAUGCUCUGGGAUUCUUUGUUUUCCUCAUCUUUUCUCCAGACAGCUAAUGUCUUAAGUUGCUGAAACCUGAUUUUAUGCAAACUGCUUCGCCAUUACUUGCAAAUGACUUACAAACUGUAAUGUAGCAAUAGGAUGAAGUGGAAUAUUUUCAUAUCUGGAUUAACUCUGUACUAGACUAUGAACUGAAUCACACCUGAAGAGAAAUAAGAGCUCCUGUGCAGAUGGACUUUGCUAAAGAUGAAGUGACAAGGAACAUCAGAGGAUUUUGGUUCUAACUUGUUAGUGCAUCCAUCUUCUGUUUGGGUUCCCUCUGAGUUCAGCUCUUUUAUCUGUUUUUCAGUUCACACAGAAAAGAGCCCUACUUUGAAACAUUCCAGGUUUGUUUAAGGAAAACAAUGCCCUAUGAACUAUUGCAAUUUUAAUUCCUUUCUAAGAAAAUAAUCUUUCUAACAUAUGUGAUUUGGGUAACAUUAAUUUUUGCUUACUCUCCCUUUUAAUGCAUGGAACUUUCUUUUCUAUUUAGUACAUGCAUGCAUCUGUCCCCUUUCCAUGUGUUGUAUGUCCUUUCAUUUCAUGCUUCUCUUUUGUAUCAGACCAGCUUUCAUCCAUUUUCCUUUCUCCCUAUGCUCAGCAACAUAUGUAUGCAUGCUUUUCUUUUAACCCAUCUGAGAGCCACAUGCUGUGCACCUGUCUCAGUCAAAUAUGCCUCCUGAGCCUGUGUUGCACAAGACAGAGCUGUUGACAAAGCUAACACCACACUGACAGUCCAGGAAAGAGUAGGGCAGGACCAGCUUUUACUCCUGGGCAGAAAAGCAGAUACUUUCUAGUAUACAGAGAAACGAAGUUCAGCGACUGGAGGAAAGAGUACAAAGCAGAAAGUGUGGCUUCUAAGCCUCUUUGUGCCAUCAAAUUUUCAAAAACCCUGUAAAAUAAGGCAAGAUCUUCUGUUAGUGCAUAUUGCCAUAAUUGGUGUAAUUUAGAAUAUCUCUACUAUUUUCACUUAAGCUGAGGAUUUAGCACAUUUUGACAGUCUCAGUGACAGAAUAUGUUAUAGAUAUUUGCUUGACAGAAUUUAUACAAUUUAGAAUUGGCUUGCUUGAUUAAUUCUUUGUGCUUGUGCCUGCCCCCUCCACCUACCAUGCUGAGGGCUCUGUCAUUUAGCAUGACUCCAUUAUAUUCAAUUGAGCAGAGGCUGCAGGAGGCCAGACACAUAUGUCCCAGGACCAUAUAAGUGCUAUUUAGCUGGAUGUACUCUGCAAAGCCAGAGGCACUCAAGAAUCUACAGAAACACUCACAUUAGUGACAUAAUACUGAGCGCCUGCACCAUGUUAUGUAAAUGUUCAUUGUGAUGAAGUGUAUGGUGUUUGUUCUCAGCUGGUUGUACUGUUGUAUGUGUAAAGUAGGUUGCUGUUGUUCGCAAUAAUUUACAGCUAAUAGUGUUGACAGUGUUCUUGACAAAGUUUAAAACAUGUUCAACUGCUGCUGUACUCUUACCACAAUUUUUUACUUUAUAGGACAACUUCCUUGACUUUCUGUAUGCCACUAGAGAGAAGAAUGGAAGGAGUUGUUUGAGGUAUACAAAAUUAAGGGAUGGGCACACAUCCAGGGAAUCUCAGAGGGAAAUAUGGGCAGUGUGCCAUGCACUGAACUUGCUACAUAUGCGCACAUCUGAUCUAGCACGCAUACGCUAUGCAGAUGGUUAGCAAUUGCACAGAUCAGCUCCACAAGGCAUGUCCAGAUCCCACUUACCCUGGGUGUCGGGAAAUCCUGGUCACAUGGCCAGCCUGUGAUUUCUCUCCUCUUUCUCCUUCCAGUCCUGAAAUUAUGUCUGAGGAGGGAGGAGAAGAAAAAGAGGACAUGCUGAGGAAGAAAGACAUACCAGGCUCUUGUUAACAUUAAACACAUUGAAAAUGGCUAGGUUACCAUAAACUAAGGAGCUUCAGGACCUCAGAUGAGCUAUAAUCUACUACUGUGUGUGUAUUUUUAGUUUGCUGUUGCAGUGUAAAAUGUAUUCACUUCACUUAAGCUAUGUCAUAAUAACUUGCUGUGAAUACUGAAAUAAAAUGCUAAUUCGAUACAGUUGGAAGAGAGCACAUGGCAAAUUACUGUAAUACCACUGAUGGCUGGUAACUCAUUUGCCUAUGGUAGCUUGAUCAGUUCUGAUCAAAUGCUUUUUCUCUUAAUCUACCUGCUCUUUACUAAUGGGCCUUCUCUAACUAAAACCUGCACAAAUUUUAAGUUCAAUUAAUUUAACUUUAUGAGUUAGAAUGUUUGUCUUAACCAAGUAAGCCAUAAUUAACCAUAAUUAGAAAUACAAUAUUUCUUAAAUCUUCUUCAUUAAUCAGAGAAACUUAUUUUUCUUCACAAGACUAAAGUUUAGUUUUUCUAAAUAAAAAUAUAAUUCAUUUUACCAAAACACUUCUGCCUAAACAAUCUAUUUGAUACUGUUUUAAAGUAUCAGUCUAAUUUUAGGUGGUCUGACUAUUCUCCCAUUGGUAGAUAGAUUUUUUUUGCAAAUAUUUUGCAUUAAAAAUUGUGAUAAUUCAAAUCAGGAUCCAUAUUUUUCAGAAAAUAAAAGGAUACCAUCCAAGGAACAGAAACCAGCCUGAUCCUGUGCCACUGCAACUUUGCCAUUUACUUUGUUGGCAUCAUAUUGUGGUGUUUUUUUUGCAGCUGGUCUUUGAAUGAAUUACCUAAAGGUCACCUAUAGGUGUCUUAGCAGAAUUUCUUUAGUUGCUUCCUGUGACAGUUUGAAAACUAAUGGUAAAUUGGGUUUAGAUGAGACAAGAGCAGCUAUGCCUCCAGGAAUAGUUCCUUUCUGUUCCUAAAGAAAAACUUUCUUUCUGUUCCUAGGAAAAAUGGCAUCAGAUUCAGAUGUCUUUCUCCCAUAAUAUUGUAUUGCCAAUACAAAAUAUUAAAUGAUUUAAAAAAUUAGUGUAUAAAUAUUUAGGGAGUUGGAUCUUUCCUCCAUUACAUUCUGCUUCUGUUUAAUUCUAGGAGUACUCACAGAGCUUCUUGAGACCAUCACUACUCAUAUUUGGGCUAAAUGUUAUUUGUGUGUUGUGUAGAUCUGGCUUAAAAAAAA